ACACACACACACACACAUAUAUAUAUACACAUAAAUUAAAUGGUUAUAAAUUCAGCACGUAGUUGAGUUUACCAUUUAUGAUUUAUCUAUAAGAUUGCUUCCCAUCUCCCAUCCUGUCUUCAUAUCAGCCAGCCAAUCUACUGUCACUCAUCCCCAUUGUAACUACCCUGGUCCCUCUUUCUUUCUUUUUUCUUCUCCAUAUCAUCACGUAACUCUGUUACAAGAUAAACCCUCUUUUUUAUUACUACUAAUCACACCACUUUUACACUUGUUUUGAAUAAACCCGAUUUCGAGUUUUUGGAUGCUACCUUGAAUAAUGUUGAGAUCGAGUACGAACUUUCGC
rnacentral:lncRNA from 1 species